AGAGUUUGAUCCUGGCUCAGAAUAAACGCUGGCGGCGUGCCUAACACAUGCAAGUCGAACGAGAAAGCCAAACUUCGGUUAGGCGAGUAAAGUGGCGCACGGGUGAGUAACGCGUAGGUAACCUGCCCCUGUGUUCGGGAUAACAGUGCGAAAGCGCUGCUAAUACCGGAUGUGGCCAGGAUGCGGUGGCAUCUUGGUCAAAGUCGGCCUCUCUAUAGAAGCUGACGCGCGGGGAGGGGCCUGCGUCCUAUCAGCUAGUUGGCAGGGUAACGGCCUACCAAGGCUUCGACGGGUAGCUGGUCCGAGAGGAUGAUCAGCCACACUGGCACUGGAACACGGGCCAGACUCCUACGGGAGGCAGCAGUGAGGAAUUUUGCGCAAUGGCCGCAAGGCUGACGCAGCAACGCCGCGUGGGUGAAGAAGGCCUUCGGGUCGUAAAGCCCUGUCAGGUGGGAAGAACGGCUAGGGGACUAAUAAUCUUCUAGAUUGACGGUACCACCAGAGGAAGCACCGGCUAACUCCGUGCCAGCAGCCGCGGUAAUACGGAGGGUGCAAGCGUUAUUCGGAAUUACUGGGCGUAAAGCGCGUGCAGGCGGGCCGAAAAGUCUGAUGUGAAAGCCCCGGGCUCAACCUGGGAAGUGCAUUGGAAACUGUUGGUCUUGAGUUCUGGAGAGGAANGGGGAAUUCCCGGUGUAGAGGUGAAAUUCGUAGAGAUCGGGAGGAAUACCAGUGGCGAAGGCGCCCUUCUGGACGGCAACUGACGCUGAGACGCGAAAGCGUGGGGAGCAAACAG
rnacentral:rRNA from 1 species